rnacentral:rRNA from 1 species
GAUCUUUAUUUUUAUUGUUUAUAAACUAAAAAGAAUUUUAAAAUUUAUAUUUUUUAUGAAAAUUUUAUUGGGGUGAUAUUAAAAUUUAAAAAACUUUUAAAGUUAAUUAACAUAAAUAUAUGAAUUAUUGAUCCAAUUUUAUUGAUUAAAAAUUUAAGUUACCUUAGGGAUAACAGCGUAAUUUUUUUUUAGAGUUCAUAUCGACAAAAAAGAUUGC